rnacentral:lncRNA from 1 species
CGGCUCUGGGACAUUGACCUCAUUCUGUGCUAAGAAGGCCUGUUCCUAAGGGCUCAUGUAUCACAGACUUGGAGCUAAAGGAGCCAGACACCCUCAGAAUCCAGUGGAUGCCGACACAAAGAUGUUCACUAUAAGCCUGCUCUCUCUAGCAAAGGAAAACAACAGCACACACUGUGCUGUUCCAGGCAAACUCCACAGAAAAAACGGUGGUCCCCGUGACAGUUUGUAUAUGCUUGGCCCAGGAAGUGGCACUAUUUGGAAGUAUGGCCUUCAUGUAGUAGGUGUGUCACUGUGGGACCCUACUCCUAGCUGCCUGGAAGUGAGUAUUCUGCUAGCAGUCUUCAGAUGAAGAUGUAGAACUCUCAGCUCUUCCUGCACCAUGUCUGCCUGGAUGCUGCCAUGCUUCCUGCCUUGAUGAUAAUGGACUGAACCUCUCAACCUGUAAGCCAGCCCCAAUUAAAUGUUGUCCUUUAUGAUAUUUGCAUUGGUCAUGGUGUCUGUUCACAGCAGUAAAAUCCUAAUUAAGAUAUCCUGUUUCAGCAAAUGUUGAGCAGAGAGCCUAUACUUCCACCCUCACUACCAAUAUGAUAGUGCCAAAAAAGACCAAGAAGAAAACCAACACUUUAACUUUACCAGGCAGUAAAUGAGCCCUUCUGCCCACAGUUGCAGCUAAGACAUGUGGGGAGCUUCGAUUUCUAAGCUUUAUGAAUGGUGACAUCACUCUCACGUCCACUGAGGCCACAUCAGAGACUCACUGGUUGGUUUAAAUUCAGUGCUUUCACCACCAUCCAGGAAUAAUAAGGGAGAUCCCUCUACCUGAGUGGGUGGA